rnacentral:rRNA from 1 species
AUACGUAGGUGGCAAGCGUUGUCCGGAAUUAUUGGGCGUAAAGCGCAUGUAGGCGGUUUGGUAAGUCGGUCGUGAAAAUGCGGUGCUUAACGCCGUAUGGCGAUUGAAACUGCUGAACUUGAGUGCAGGAGAGGAAAGGGGAACUCCCAGUGUAGCGGUGAAAUGCGUAGAUAUUGGGAAGAACACCGGUGGCGAAGGCGCCUCUCUGGACUGUAACGGACGCUCAGGUGCGAAAGCGAGGGGAGCGAACGGGAUUAGAUACCCCGGUAGUCCAGGCCGUAAACGAUGGAUACUAGGUGUGGGAGGGUUCGACUCCUUCGGUGCCGGAGUUAACGCAAUAAGCAUCCCGCCUGGGGAGUACGGCCGCAAGGUUGAAACUCAAAGGAAUUGACGGGG